rnacentral:rRNA from 1 species
UACGAAGGGGGCGAGCGUUGUUCGGAUUUACUGGGCGUAAAGGGCGCGUAGGCGGCCCUCCUAGUCGCGUGUGAAAGCCCCGAGCUCAACUUGGGAAUUGCAGUGGAUACUGGCGAGCUAGAGUGCGGUAGAGGAAGGUGGAAUUCCCGGUGUAGCGGUGAAAUGCGUAGAGAUCGGGAGGAACACCAGUGGCGAAGGCGGCCUUCUGGACCAGCACUGACACUCAAGCACGAAAGCGUGGGGAGCAAACAGG